rnacentral:rRNA from 1 species
GAUGAACGCUGGCGGCGUGCCUAAUACAUGCAAGUCGAGCGAACAGAUAAUGAGCUUGCGCCUUUGACGUUAGCGGCGGACGGGUGAGUAACACGUAGGUAACCUACUUCUUUUUCGGGGAUGACUUCGGGGAACCGGUUCUACUACCGGAUAACACUUGCUACCGCAUGGUUCUAAAGAUAAUGAUGGUUUUGCUAUCACUUAUAGCUGGACCCGGGCCGUAUUAGCUAGUUGGUAAGGUAACGGCCAACCAAGGCGACGAUACGUAGCCGACCUGAGAGGGUGAUCGGCCACACUGGAACUGAGACACGGUCCAGACUCCUACGGGAGGCAGCAGUGGGGAAUAUUGGACAAUGGGCGAAAGCCUGACGGAGCAAUACCGCGUGGGUGAAGAAGGCUUUCGGGUUGUAAAGCCCUGUUAUUGGGAAAGAAAAGCAGCAGAUUAAUACCCGGAUGUCUUGACGGUACCUAAUGAAAAAGCACCGGCUAACUUCGUG